UAGAUUGGGAUGAAGCUAAAUAAAUUAAUCCAACACUUGAUCUGAGAUAUUCAUUAUCGAGUGAUGUUAAACGACUUGCUUCUGAAUCUAU